GACAAUAAUCUGUGUGGGUUUCAUUUUUUUUUUCUCUCUCUAUAGGCCGCAUUGGAAGUUUCUACUUGGAAAUUUAUGCAUUGUUUUCUUUCAGAGGAGUUUAUCAGUAGGCAGAAGCUAGAUGGUGUUCCAGGCCUUGGAAACAUGAUGGAGAGAGCAACAGAGGGGAGUUAUAUCUCGUUUGGAUGUUAUCCUUUGGUGUGUCCUGGAGAGAAGAAAAUCCAGAAAGGAAUACUUCCCAUUCAAGCCAGCAGGAGGACUGGGAAAGUGGUCCUUGACUGGGCAGCUGCUCUCCAGAGACAACUCAUAACUCUGUACUAUAGAAGGAGAACUCUGAAUUUGGGGCACCCUCUUUCACCACCGCUGGACCUCACAACUUACAGGCUGUUUUUCAAGUUAUAGAGACCAGCAUGACUCAAACACAAGAUCUUAUUACAACUAAGAACUACAUAACCACCACACCAUACUUCCUCUAAUAAACAUGUCUGUGGGAGCUAAUACCAGCACAACCCAGAGAAAAAAAUAAAUGAACUAACACCUCCUCCUUGGACCCAUGGCCUCUUCCUGCCUGCUUCUGUAACGUGCUAUUAUUGAUUGGCAAGUCAGAAGGGACACUGGUUCAGCAGCCUGCUGUCUGUGGGAGGAUGACUCCUUUCUCCACCUGGUGUCUUGGUUGACCCCUCAGGAGUUGUGGCUGAAGGUUCAGCAUUGAACAGUUUUGAAUGCCUAGGUUUCGUCCUAGAAUCUCCCUCAAGUCCAGCAGUAAUGAAGCAAUUGCAUGUCCUGCCAUAAUAGAUCUGAAUCAAAGUGAAGCCAAUGUUCUCUUCUUUCCACGGAGCACAGAGCGUACUGGGGUUUAGAUGAAUGAGGAGGCUUUUGUGCAGUGCCCUGAUCAGAGGGCUGGAAGCUCCAUCAUUUGGCAGAGAGCAACUCUAAGUGCUUUCCCUGCGCUGUUUGCCAUUUGCAUUUGAAUUUCGAUUGCUAAGGAUUUUAAGCUUUGUUGGUGAAUUUCUAAUCCUUUCUUUCAAAGUUCCUGCUUCAGCUGAUGUCUUAUUUUUUUAUGCAUUUAGAAUUAAUCCAACAACUGCUAAAAAAAAGCAGAAAGUUGUACUCCUACUAAGUAUUGUGCACAUAGCAUUAGACUCCAGGGGUCUUAGGAUAAACAAGACAUGGAUUUUUGCUCUCAAAUAACUCUUAUAAUGUUUUUUUAAAGGUUCUUUUAAUUCAGAAUGUCACUGUAUUGCCUUAUUAGUCUUAUUUUAUUUAUAGUAUUUAUCAGUAUGGGACUGUAUUAUUUUUACCGAUAUACUUAUUUUCCAUUUCCCCACCAGAAUGAAGCUCUGUGAAGGCAUGGAUCUUGUCUGUUAUGCUCACCACUGUGUUAUCAGACCCAGAAUAGUGCCUGAUGCACUGUAGACAUCCAUAAACAAUGAGUAAUCUAUAGCCAGCAAACAGUGGUACAGUGCAUGCAAUGUACACUGAGUGGUUUGAGAACAUUAUGUCUUUUUUUCUCUAAGGACACUGGUGUAAUGACUGAAUUAGACACUAGUUCACCUUAUACACUUCUGUUUUCUUAAGAGAGACUUUGGAACACGUGUUAAAACCCAUCUGAACCUGCAGUGUUCUAAUGGUUGGAGUGAAUUCUACAAAUUCUCCCUAGAAUCCUUCUUUUAUUUGGGCUGCUAUAACAGAAUCCUAUAGACUAGGUGGCUUAAACAACAAACAUUUAUUUCUCAUACUUCUGGAGGCUGGGAAGUCCAAGAUCAGAGUGCCUGCAGAUUUAUAGUCUAGUGAGAGCUCGCUUCCUGGUUCAUAGAUGGCUUUUUGCUGUCUUCACAUGGCGGAGGGGGUGAGGAAGCUCUUUGGGGCCAUUUUGGGAAAUUCUAUAAUCAGAAUUGGCUUCUGCCUUGCACAUGACUUCUGUGGCAAAAAUUCUGUCUCCUAACCCUCUUCACCCUCUGAGGAAAAUACAUCUUUCCAUGAUUUCUGGUAUUAGAGUAAGAAAAACAUCUGGUAUCAGGUGGUAUGAAUACAUACUCCUGGGCCUUUGAUUUAUAGCCUUGAAUGCACACAGAACAUGCUUAUGCACAAAUGUACAUGCAUAUGUUGUGCGAAUGGGCAGAGGAGUGGGGGUUGCACUCUGUGGAAUUCGAACUGCUAGUUUUUCUGCACUGGGCAUUUCCUGUAUUGGUUGACCCGGAUGGUGAGAAUAUCUUUGGCAUCCAUAAUAGCUUUGACCGCUGAGAAUGUUAACAGUGAGUUUUAUGAACUAUGGCCUUUUCUUGGGACUGUUAAAUGUGUCAAGUUGGGUGUAGUUAAGAGGUAGUCAUAGUAACUUAUUUUUAAGGUCUCUGCAUAUAAGAUGCCUCCAUAGUAUUACGUCAUAUAAAAAUUUCCCCAAGUUCCAGUGUUGACAGAUGGUGCUGCUCUGCAAUAUAAGCAGCAAUGUCCUCACGAGACUAUUGAUUUUGUUUGUGAAAUAUAAAUCCCUAAACAGUGACUGAUGGGCUGGUGAGAAGUGCUUCUUUAAUAAUUCAAUAAUUUCAUUAAAUGAUCUGGUCUUCUGUGAAACAGGAGUGGUGAGAGACCUGGCUGUGGAUUACACUUAAGUCUCAAUAAAAACACGACCGUGAUCUCCUUUGUUCAUGUUUAUUUUUGUUCAUGUUUCUCUAUGUCUUCAAGAUAAAGUGAAGUCCUUCAGCAUACGAAUUCCAAGAAAUAGAGCAAAUGACAUCAAAUUCUUUAGUGUGACUCGCAGCAGCCAUUUUAAGCUCAGUCUGCCCAGAUUCAAAGCAAUGGCUUCGUUCAUUUGCUUACUAGGUAGGCUUGGACAUUGAUUUAUUUUGCCUCUGCUACUUACCUUUCUUUUUUCUUAGUGGGCUGUCAUCUCAAUAGAGAAUGUACUGUUUGUAGGGAGUAGAAGCAAGAUGAUUCCAACACGGAACUUUAUUAUAGCUAAGAAUGUCAUAAUCACC
ensembl:lncRNA